rnacentral:rRNA from 1 species
GAUUAACGCUAGCGGCAGGCCUAAUACAUGCAAGUUGUACGGGAUUAUUGGUAGCAAUACUGAUAUGAGAGUAGCGCACGGGUGCGUAACACGUAUGCAACCUACCUUUAACUGGGGAAUAGCCUUCCGAAAGGAAGAUUAAUACCGCAUAACAUUGCGAAACGACAUCGUUUUGCAAUUAAACCUACGGGGGUUAGAGAUGGGCAUGCGUCCGAUUAGCUAGUUGGCGGGGUAANAGCCCA